AAUAUCAAAGGUGAGCCAGUACAGGAUGGACCCGCGUCUGAUUAGCUAGUUGGUAAGGUAACGGCUUACCAAGGCGACGAUCAGUAGCCGACCUGCGAGGGUGAUCGGCCACAUUGGAACUGAGACACGGUCCACACUCCUACGGGAGGCAGCAGUGGGGAAUAUUGCACAAUGGGCGAAAGCCUGAUGCAGCUACGCCGCG
rnacentral:rRNA from 1 species